UACGUAGGGGGCAAGCGUUGUCCGGAAUCAUUGGGCGUAAAGAGCGCGUAGGCGGCCCUGUAAGUCCGCUGUGAAAGUCAAGGGCUCAACCCUUGAAUGCCGGUGGAUACUGUGAGGCUAGAGUACGGAAGAGGCGAGUGGAAUUCCUGGUGUAGCGGUGGAAUGCGCAGAUAUCAGGAGGAACACCAAUAGCGAAGGCAGCUCGCUGGGACGUUACUGACACUGAGGCGCGAAAGCGUGGGGAGCGAACAGG
rnacentral:rRNA from 1 species